rnacentral:rRNA from 1 species
GUCGAGCGAACCACUUCGGUGGUGAGCGGCGAACGGGUGAGUAACACGUAGGUUAUCUGCCCAUCAGACGGGGACAACGAUUGGAAACGAUCGCUAAUACCGGAUAGGACGAAAGUUUAAAGGUGCUUCGGCACCACUGAUGGAUGAGCCUGCGGCGCAUUAGCUAGUUGGUAGGGUAAAGGCCUACCAAGGCGACGAUGCGUAGCCGACCUGAGAGGGUGAACGGCCACACUGGGACUGAGACACGGCCCAGACUCCUACGGGAGGCAGCAGUAGGGAAUCUUCGGCAAUGGGCGAAAGCCUGACCGAGCAACGCCGCGUGAAUGAUGAAGGCCUUCGGGUUGUAAAAUUCUGUUAUAAGGGAAGAAUGGCUCUAGUAGGAAAUGGCUAGAGUGUGACGGUACCUUAUGAGAAAGCCACGGCUAACUACGUGCCAGCAGCCGCGGUAAUACGUAGGUGGCGAGCGUUAUCCGGAAUUAUUGGGCGUAAAGAGCGCGCAGGUGGUUGAUUAAGUCUGAUGUGAAAGCCCACGGCUUAACCGUGGAGGGUCAUUGGAAACUGGCCAACUUGAGUGCAGAAGAGGGAAGUGGAAUUCCAUGUGUAGCGGUGAAAUGCGUAGAGAUAUGGAGGAACACCAGUGGCGAAGGCGGCUUCCUGGUCUGUAACUGACACUGAGGCGCGAAAGCGUGGGG